rnacentral:rRNA from 1 species
UACGUAGGUCGCAAGCGUUGUCCGGAUUUACUGGGCGUAAAGAGCGCGCAGGCGGCUGGUCAAGUCCGAUGUGAAAUCUCCCGGCUCAACUGGGAAACUGCAUCGGAAACUGAUCGGCUUGAAGAUGGGAGAGGGUAGCGGAAUUCCCGGUGUAGUGGUGAAAUGCGUAGAUAUCGGGAGGAACACCAGUGGCGAAGGCGGCAUCCUGGACCGACACUGACGCUGAGGAGCGAAAGCCAGGGGAGCAAACGGG